rnacentral:rRNA from 1 species
CCUACGGGGGGCAGCAGUGAGGAAUAUUGGUCAAUGGACGAGAGUCUGAACCAGCCAAGUAGCGUGAAGGAGGACUGCCCUAUGUGUUGUAAACUUCUUUUAUAAAGGAAUAAAACGAGGCACGUGUGCCUGUUUGCAUGUACUUUAUGAAUAAGGAUCGGCUAACUCCGUGCCAGCAGCCGCGGUAAUACGGAGGAUCCGAGCGUUAUCCGGAUUUAUUGGGUUUAAAGGGAGCGUAGAUGGGUUGUUAAGUCAGUUGUGAAAGUUUGCGGCUCAACCGUAAAAUUGCAAUUGAUACUGGCAGUCUUGAGUAGAGUAGAGGUAGGCGGAAUUCGUGGUGUAGCGGUGAAAUGCUUAGAUAUCACGAAGAACCCCGAUUGCGAAGGCAGCUUACUAAACUGACACUGACAUUGAUGCUCGAAAGUGUGGGUAUCAAACAGGAUUAGAUACCCCAGUAGUC